AAUUCGGGUCAACAUGUGACCUUGAGUGGCAACAUUCAAUGGAAAAUUCCUUAAAUUGCUGGAAACCCAUUAAGUUUUUUUCACUACAGCAUGGCUCGUAAGGGCGAGUGCGAAAGUUAUAAAAGAAAAAAAAUUUGGCAAUCAGCAUCCAAACCACUAAAAUUUAGUGGGAGGUUCAGAGACUAUAAUAGGAACUUCCUUUUUAUAAAAGGAAGAUGGUAUAGUCCAUUCCCUUUAGAAAUAAAGGG
rfam:Parcubacteria bacterium GW2011_GWA2_33_14 TR31_C0009, whole genome shotgun sequence.